CUGCCAAUGUGGCUAGAACAAAGAAGAAAUUGCCCCAGACACCCCAACCUUUAUCAACAAUCACACCAAUCAGUCAGCAGCUAUCAACAUUAAGGAAAAACCCGGGAUGCCAAAGAGAUUAUGACUCACUGAAGACUCGGAUAAUCGUGGACCUUUUUAGCAAUUUAAGGUAUGUACAUUUUUUUACACAUAAUCCUGCCGGGGUCUGACCUGCAGACCCAGGCUGCACGACAGAUGAAUAACAUACUCAGACACCAAUAUUCAGUGAAAGAGCAGGCCAGGGAGCCAGGCUACUCACAGAAAGAGUUGUGGCAGCCUCACCCUAACUAGCUAGCCCUGCUGGCAUUUAUUCAGCACAGAGUUAAUGACAAAGGCUUUGAGUCAACACACCUGUGGGUAAUUAAUCUGGUCACCCUCCCCGGGAAAGAGCAGUCCUAGGAAUGAUCAAAGGUCAGUCUUAGGACCACAUGAGUAAACAAACUCUUUAGAUAAACUCCCUUACAUUCCUUUGUACCUACUCUAAGCUAUGAACUCAAGGUAAGAGGAUUAGGCUGCUUUCAGCCAUAACCCUAUCCUGAGGCUUUUGUAAACCCUUCUGGCCUUCCAAGAAAGUUUGCAUUUUUCCUAUAAUUUUACAAUUUCUCCAGCCACCCUGACUGAACUCCUAUAUUAUCCUAUUGCAUACUUAAUAGACUACAGUAAGGAGUAAACAUAAUUUUUGUAUACUGGAAAACCAAAAAAUUGUGUGACUCACUUUAUUGAGAUAUUUAUUGUGAUGGUCUGAAACCAAACCCACAUUAUCUCAUAUAUAUGUAUGGCAAUGUGAAAAUUUUACAGAAAAAUUGUUUGUGAGCCCCAAACUGGAACCUAUAUGUUUGCCUAUCACUUUUAUUAAAUGGAUGUAUUAGUUCCCAAGUGCUUUCAUAACAAAGUAUCUCAAGUGAUUUAAAACAACUGUAUUGUCUCAGUUCUGGAGGCCUAAAUUUGAAAUCAAGGUGUCAUGCAAGGCCACACCCCCACUGAAUCCUUUAGGAGAGAAUCCUUUCUUGCCUAUUCUCCAUUCUGGUAUUUUUCCAGCAAUCUCUAUUGUUCCUUGACUUGUAAAAUGCAUCACUCCAAGCUCUACCUCUGUCAUUACAGGUCAAUCUUCUCCUUGUUUCUAUUUCUGUCUGAAUCUUUUCUUCCUCUUCUUAUAAGUAUACGAGUUAGAUUAGAUUAGGAUCUACUCUAAUGACCUAAUCUAAACUAAUUAAAUUUGCAAUAAUCCUAUUUCCAAAUAAGGUGACAUUUUGAGGUAAUGGAGGUUAGGACUUCAACAUAUCUGUUUGAAGUUCACAAUGCCACCCAUAACAAUAGAUAAAUAAAUUUUCAGUGUAAUAUUAUGCAUAAACAGAAAAUAACUUCGGAUACAUGGUUGAAUUUUAGUAACAUAAUGUAGAGUAGAAAGAAGAUAGACACAAAAUCAAUCUAUGAGCCUUACUAUAGGAUCACAUUUAUAUAAGAUUUGGAAAAUACAAAAUGAAUCUACCCAACAGAAGUCAUAAUAGUGGUUAUCUAGGAGGUAAUAACAGGGAAGAAGCAUGGUAAUAUCUUUAUAUGGGUACUGAUUUCACAGGUGUAUUCAGUUUGUAAAAACUCAUUGAACUGUAUAAGAUUUACACAUUUUAUACUAUAUUUUAUCAAACAAAAAUUAACAGAA
rnacentral:lncRNA from 1 species